UGAGAUUUGAGUGGAGAACACCAUUUCUC
rnacentral:piRNA from 1 species